rnacentral:rRNA from 1 species
GAUGAACGCUGGCGGUAUGCUUAACACAUGCAAGUCGAACGGACUCUUCGGAGUUAGUGGCGGACGGGUGAGUAACGCGUGAGAAUCUGGCUUUGGGUUCGGGACAACCACUGGAAACGGUGGCUAAUACCGGAUGUGCCGAGAGGUAAAAGAGAAAUUGCCUGAAGAUGAGCUCGCGUCUGAUUAGCUAGUUGGUGAGGUAAAGGCUCACCAAGGCAACGAUCAGUAGCUGGUCUGAGAGGAUGACCAGCCACACUGGGACUGAGACACGGCCCAGACUCCUACGGGAGGCAGCAGUGGGGAAUUUUCCGCAAUGGGCGAAAGCCUGACGGAGCAAUACCGCGUGAGGGAAGAAGGCUCUUGGGGUGUAAACCUCUUUUCUUAGGGAAGAACAAAAUGACGGUACCUAAGGAAUCAGCAUCGGCUAACUCCGUG